rnacentral:rRNA from 1 species
UACAGAGGGUGCUAGCGUUGUUCGGAAUCAUUGGGCGUAAAGGGCGUGUAGGCGGUUUGCUAAGUCAUGUGUGAAAUCCCUCGGCUUAACCGGGGAACGACGCAUGAAACUGGCAAGCUAGAGUACCAAAGAGGGGGGUGGAAUUCCCGGUGUAGCGGUGAAAUGCGUAGAUAUCAGGAGGAACACCGGUGGCGAAGGCGGGUCUCUGGGCCGAUGACUGACGCUGGAGGAGCGAAAGCGUGGGGAGCGAACAGG